rfam:Pan troglodytes isolate Yerkes chimp pedigree #C0471 (Clint) chromosome 6, whole genome shotgun sequence.
GCCGGGUGUGGUGGUGGGUGCCUGUAAUCCCAGCUACUUGGGAGGCUGAGGCAGAAGAAUCGCUUGAACCCAGGAGGUGGAGGUUGCAGUGAGUGGAGAUCACACCACUACACUCCAGCCUGGGUGACAGAGUGAGCCUCUGUCUCAA